rnacentral:rRNA from 1 species
GACGAACGCUGGCGGCGUGCUUAACACAUGCAAGUCGAACGGACUAUUUCAUUUCGGUGGGAUGGUUAGUGGCGAACGGGUGAGUAACGCGUAGACAGCCUACCUCUUAGAUGGGGACAACAUCGCGAAAGCGGUGCUAAUACCGAAUGAAGUGACUUUCCUGCAUGGGAGAGCUACUAAAGGUCGCCUCUAUUUAUAAACUACCACUGAGAGAGGGGUCUGCGUCUGAUUAGCUAGAUGGCGGGGUAACGGCCCACCAAGGCGACGAUCAGUAGCCGGUCUGAGAGGAUGAACGGCCACAUUGGGACUGAGACACGGCCCAAACUCCUACGGGAGGCAGCAGUGGGGAAUAUUGGACAAUGGGCGCAAGCCUGAUCCAGCCAUGCCGCGUGUGUGAAGAAGGCCUUCGGGUUGUAAAGCACUUUCAGUUGGGAGGAAGGGUUGUGUGUUAAUAGUACACAGCCUUGACGUUACCAACAGAAGAAGCACCGGCUAACUCUGUGCCAGCCGCCGCUGUAACAC